ensembl:lncRNA
AUGGUGGCGCUGACGCGCAGGCCGGCGCACCUGGGGGCGCCACACGCCUCGGCGGGCCCCUGCUGGCCGCCGCCAGCUGGACGCGCGCCCCAGGCCCGUAGGGCCCGCGGGGGCCUGCGCGGCCCGAGCCUGCAGGGGCCUCCUGCCGCCGGCCAUCCGCGUCUUCGCCCGGGGGAGGCCGCCAGGACGAAGCCAGCGGCGGCCAGAUCCCGGACGCAGCACCGUGGGCCUGACACCGCGGCCCCCGCCAGGACGCGCAGCGCACUCACCUCGGACGCGCCCCGUGAGCAGACGAAGCUCGGGAAAGGAGGCGGAGCCGCGCGAAUGAAUGGAGCCGGCGGCUGCGGGCUGGCGACCUCCGGCCUGUCCCCGGCGGCGCCGUUCGCGGCUGCCUGGCGCGUGCGGCCGCCUCCCCCUCGUCCUGGACGCCGGGUUCCUGGUUGCGGGUCGGCCGCAGCCCACCGUGCCCUCCGCCGGCGUGACGCACUCGCGCCGCAGCGCCUCCAGCCUUUGCAGCCGCGCCGCGCCCGCGCCCACCGCGAAUCCCCCCGCCCGCGCCGUGCGGCCCCUCCUUGGCGCCGGGGACGCCGCCCUGCCUCGCUCCGGGCCCGGCCGCAGGCGCCUGCCGGGCAGAAUCCCAUUUGCACAUCCCCUGAUCAGGAUCUCAGCCCGGAUCAGGCCUUCCUGAUGUUUACCCAGGGCGGGCGCGGCCAUGCUCCCCUCUCCUGGGGACAGGGAUGCUCCCAGGGAGCAGAAUGUAAUCAAAGUAACCCAGAUCCAGAAGACCCAAGGACUCCUCCCCACUUGCCUCUGCUUUCCCCCCAACUCACUUCGUCCGCCUCAUAGUCCAGCGCAGAAUACACUGCCCCUGAAGAAAUCCAAGCUCUCAACAUUUAUUAAAAGUAUGGUAUCUUUUUCUUGAACUAAUGAAUGCAAGAGCUUACAUGUAUUUAUUUAAGUAUUGAGAAACAGUGUUGUAAUUAAAUAUUCUUAAGACAGAGCGAGGACUGGCUGAGAAGGACCUCCUCCUGCACAGCUGUGCAAACACCUCUGCCCAGACAGCCAUGGAAUCAGUGAGUCUCUUGCCCAGUGCUCCAGCAGGGUCAACCUGUGGAUGAAAGUGAUGCAGGGAAGCCAUGCCAUAAUGUCCUUGUUCUGUGGCUUCCACAUACACCUGGGCAUUGCACGAGGUCCUAUACCAGAGGAGGGCUUAAGAAAAGGCUGAAAUCCUGCCCAGGCUGUGCUUUCCUACCCAGUGCCUUUAUGUUUUAUCAGCCAUAGGAGGGAUGGCUUUUUGUAAUUUGUCUUCCCUGAGGGAGAGCCUUUUUUCUCUUAAAAGUCCCCUUUACACUAAGGUGACCCUCAUUAUGUUAGGUCAGGUAACUUUAACUUUAGGAGUGGAUCCCACAUAAUUUGGGAUCAUAUUUAGGCACAAGACAUAACUCCUUUUAAUUGAAAACUAAUUUCAGUGCAUUAUUUUUGUUUUGGUGACAUAUCCCACACAUUGGGGACACUAUUAAGAUUAAUAACCAAUACAUUAAUAGUACUUACACCUGUAAAUAAGUUCUAAAGUUAGGCAGGCAUUGUAAUCCCACCCCCAACACACCUAUUUAUCCUCUACCCACCCCUCAAAGCCCUACAGUUCCUCUAGCUUCACUUACUGAUUUAGAAAAUUAUUGCAAAGCAGAAUGCAUCAACAUUACUGCUUGGCUUUCUGAGUUUUAUGUGUCAGUGUUGUAAAGCAUGUUAAAUGUCAGCUUAGUUACCACACCAAGCAAUUAGAUGAACAGCUAAAGUCUUUCCUAUAGAUAACGUUGGCAUGAAAAAGGAUUUCAAGGUUAAAAUUUGCAUAUAGAAACAACAGACUCUUUAAUCAAGAAAACUAUAAAGCAAAUUGAAAAAAAAAAAACAAACACAAACCUCUGAGUGCUCAAGCUUGAAUAGGAAAAUAAAAAAUAGCAAGAGAAAUACUUGGAUUAUUUU